UGGGGAAUAUUGCACAAUGGGCGGAAGCCUGAUGCAGCGACGCCGCGUGGGGGAUGAAGGCCUUCGGGUUGUAAACUCCUUUCGACAGGGACGAAGCUUUUGUGACGGUACCUGUAUAAGAAGCACCGGCUAACUACGUGCCAGCAGCCGCGGUAAUACGUAGGGUGCGAGCGUUGUCCGGAAUUACUGGGCGUAAAGAGCUCGUAGGUGGUUUGUCGCGUCGUCUGUGAAAUUCCGGGGCUUAACUCCGGGCGUGCAGGCGAUACGGGCUGACUUGAGUGCUGUAGGGGAGACUGGAAUUCCUGGUGGAGCGGUGAAAUGCGCAGAUAUCAGGAGGAACACCGAUGGCGAAGGCAGGUCUCUGGGCAGUAACUGACGCUGAGGAGCGAAAGCAUGGGUAGCGAACAGG
rnacentral:rRNA from 1 species